GGUCGCUCCCGGUGUGCCCGAGUUAGGGCCGAGAACUUGAAGCUCUUUUACAAGGGGGGCAGAACCUGAACGCGGGCUAAACCAUAAAGAAAAGCGAAACCCUUGGGUCCGGCUGAACCAACGCAACGGGGCGAAAGGCGCGCGGCGGCAGCCCAGCUGCCAGCACCGUGCGGUCGCUCGUGGUUUGGUGUUCUGUCGGUUUGUGUCCUCCCCGGCCUUGCCACACCAGGACACGUCGGCGGGCACGGCCGCGACACCGCGAGCUGGCACCAGCACAGCGCAAAGCGCCGUGGCGUGGGGCCGGGUGGGCCAACCGAGCAGGCUGUGCGAGCAGAAGCGACUGCCGCCACCACAGUAGUUGGUCCCUACUUGGAGCUCUGCCACCCAAAAACAAUACACUUUUUUUAAAUGACCACUGACCAAGGCCGUUCAGUCGCUGCGAGCAGCUGGCGUGGAGCCGGUGAUGGCUGCGGCCCCCCCGGGGCUGUGAAAUGCGGGCACACGAGGGAGUCGCAGCCAGCCCGGUGCUGGCGGCACGCAGGGGACCCCCGUCUUUGGGAUGGGACUGAUCUCGUCCCAUUUGUCCUGGGCCUUUUUGUGUUCCCAAGUUCCUUCAGGCAUCCUGAAGGGAAGGGCUUCGCUCUGUAUCCUGCACUUACAGGCAUGGCCAGCACCUCCCAGAGAAAUGCUGGCAGCCUGCGGGGCUGCUGCAUCCCCUCUCUGCCUCACCUGCGCCAGGGCUGGGGGAACCAGUUACCUGCAACAUUUUGGUCCAAAUAAGUCAUUUUUGCUGGCAGAUUUCCUCACGUAGUUUGAGCUCCAAAGUCCCAGUUCUGCAGAACCCGAGAAGUCCCGGCAGGUCCUUGCGCAGGUGGCACUGUUUAUUCAUCAGAACCACUUUUAAGAAAACAUUCUCGCUAAAGCCGUGCCACCUCUGGCAUCCAGAGAGACAAAAGAGCUGCAGCAAAUGUUUGUGGGAUAUUCAGGUUAUUUUGUAAGAUCUGAGCCGAUUCUUUUGAAAACGUCACUAAGUUUUGUUUUUGUUGUGAAGUUGUUUACACAAAGCUAAUAUAAAUUCAGUGCAUCCAGUCUGGGUGAAUAUAAACAUGAUCCUUGCAGGGCCUCAAGUUUCUGAUACGUCUCACAUUUAAGAUACUGCAGAAGUAGAUUCUAUCUCCCUGAGCAGUUCUGAUAGCAUAGAUUUUUCUCUCAAGGGUACAGAUGCCUGCACAGCUAUGCAAUGCUUCUCACUAGAGACAGAGCAAUAGACACAACAGAUGGAAACUGAGAGGCCACCUGGUUUUAAAGCAAAUCAUAUCAUCAAUCUAUCAGUACAAAAUCUAAAACAUGGGAAAGUGCUUAGAGAAACAAAAUGAAUUCAAUUCUCUUUUUUUCUCCAAACUCAAUUUUCUCAAGGUCUGUUGAUGUGCCACUUGCAAAAAUGCAUUUCUUUCUCUUGAAAAGAGACUGCCAGUGGAUCGAGGUACAAGAACUUUUGUGUUUUACAUCAAAACAAAACAAAAAGAAAGAAAAGGAUCUUUGGUUAGGCUGCCAUGAGUUACUGUCUUGCUAUUCAGAAAAGCUGUUUUCAAAAAUCUGCUACAUUCUUGUGCACAGCUUCAAGAUCCAGGUUUUUCACUGCUAAAUUAGACACACCAGACAGAAUUACUUUGGAUUAUCAACAGCAAUUCAGUUAAGAAAGAAAAUUAAAUUUCCUCAAUUAAGUCUUGACAGAAAUAGGCUUUCUUUCAUACAGUAUGCUCGGAUUCUGCUGCAGUUCUCCUUCAAACAACCCCCAAAGCGAGAACUUCCAGAAGAUGUUUGCGUUUUUCCUUCCCCGUUUCGGCCGCGCUAGGAGCAGCCGCUGGCCGGUGGCUCGCGGAGGAGGGAGGUCGGCCCUCGUGCAGGGCCGGGCCUACAAGGGCACGAGGUGCCUCGACACGCACCCAUCUAACGGCAGGUUGUGCCACACGCUGAGCUCAGCUCCCCAUUUCCAUUUAACCAAUUUCACUGUUUUAUGUAGUUCGAGAGUGUGUUGAUGUACAUUUUAAUCUACAAAUAUUUAAAGUCCCACUGACACAGCUGUCAGAAGGAACUCCCAGCAGGCAGCGUAAGCCUGAAGCUCAGUCUGUAAGGAACGGAGAGCUACAUAAAUAAGGGUACUUUAAAUAACUUCAUUUUUAACCUAACAUACAAGGAAGUGCUCUUCUGUUCCAGUGCAGCCAGGCAUUUCUGCCUCUAAAGCUGUACGGCCAAAGCUCACACGGUGACAGCCUGCUUGUUCCCCACAGCCCAAGUGUUUCGGCACUGUCCCGACCCGUGGCCUUGAGGCCACUUUACUGCCGUCAUUCAAACACAGCCGAGUGCCACAAGUAGGCCACCACAGCGGUGGGAGCUGGGAAAAUUAAACAGGUACCUUUCUUUAUUUCUUGCGGGGAUGAAGGUUCCCGGUAGUGAGUCUGUAUCUGGAAAACUAGAAUGAUCUCAACCCAAUUCUUUAAGGAUUUUAAAUCAACAUAUAGUCAAUGGGAUUGAUUUACCUUAUUCUGAGUGCUAAAUGCAACUGUCACUGUGUCCUUCAUCCUCAAUCCGUUAUUGAUAAAUUCCUGGCCCUAGUGACUUAAUAUAUGCCUAUUGACUUAUUUGUUAUUUUCCAUUCUUAAUAGCAUCCACUGUGGAGACUUCUGCUAACAGUUAUUUUCAGAAGAAAAAAAACCACCCUUCUUCCUCAAAUGAAACUUGCAGAGUUUAAAGAGCUUCAAUUUUCCAGCAGUAGCUAGAGAAGAUGGGCUGUGAAUUUUUCUUUCCCCGUGCACGGCGGCAGCAUGCCUUCUCCGCACACACACUGCAUGCAGGCUGACUUUCACGGUGUGUCUGCAGCCUGCAUGCUCGGUUCUCAUAUUUCUGUAAGGUUCGAGUCCCAAAGGAAGCAUUAAUGCUAAAGGAAUGCAUACCAGCGUGUAACUAGUCUAAAAGUCAGUACAAAAUCUCUCCAACAGAUUGCUCAGAGAAACACCUCUUUUUUACCGCACUUAAGAUCUGCAGAUUGAUCUCAUGAGCAUUUGUGCAACAGUUUAGUCUCAAACUGAUAAGAGUGCUGCACAAAGAGAGAAAGGGAAUCAAAGGAGAUUAAAAAGCGCUGGUCUUCAGGAAGAUAAGCGACCUAGAGCCGCCACGUGACCCCGCGAGCGCUCCAGCUCGGCCGCCUGCGGAUCUCAUCAGGGAACCAGAUGUGACCAGUGGCAGAAUAUCCUGCGCAGCGUGAGAUCUGGAGUCUGUGAUUGCCAUCCAGGAAAGGGGAGAUGGGAAAGUCUGCUCGUAGCAUCAGUGCUAUACAAUUUCACAGCCAGAGAAAGUGGGAUACAUUUUGCCAUGAACUUCAGCAGGAGCAGGACAGCAUAAUAACAUUUCAGGACAUUUGGGUCCUACUUGUGAGUCAGGACUCAAACUGCAUUCAGUGUUGUGCAAAAAAAUUCAGAACAAAGGAAGAUUCCUGCCCAUAAAAAGCCUGCAGGUUUCGGUGGGGCCAGAAGGAAGAUCACUUCUUGUUUUCUGGUGCUGCGUCCGUUCAGCGUGGGGAGCUAACAGCAAACUCCCCCCUUUGUUAUUCCCAUUUUGCAGACAGCAGAGACACUGCAACGGGAGAUCAUUUGCCCAGGGUCGCACAGCAAGUCAGUGGCAAGAAGAAAUGAGGCCCCAAAAGGUCAGAUUUCCAUUUUAAGGCAGGAAGGAGGAAAAGAUUCUGCGCAAAGUAACAAAUUCCAGCCCAAAUCUAAAGCACGUUCUCUUCAAGGGAAGAGAAGAGGAAUGUUGUAUCUAACACCACUGUGUAGGGCCGUGCCAACACUGCAAGUCCUCGGGGGUGCCCCUGCACAAGGCCCUUAGCUGCUGCUGUGUUGGAGCAGCCACUAGGAAAUAGCAAGUCAGAUAAAGAUGAGUUGCAGUGAAUGGAAAAUGGAAAACAGAUGCCGUACCAUCACAUUAUUUCCUCAAUGCAAGCUAAAAACAACUGACAGUUUCCCAUCAUACUGACGACUCAGGGCCCCAGUCAAACGGCUGGCAAAGUUUCUUUACUCCAAAACACUGGGGAUAAUGAAUUCAGAAGUUCUGAACAGCUGCUUUUCAUGGAUCAUUUGGAAUUUGCGAUGCAAAUAUGAAAAAUCCAUCUUAAAUGCCCUCAACUAAUUGAGUGGAGUGCAGUGAAUACAAAGGAAUAGAUCACUGACCUUGGUGAAAACAGCACAAAAGCCUUAAUCUGCCCAGAGAGACCCAGAAGGUUACUGAGGAGCAGAAGAGAGCAGAAGCCUGCGUACUCUCACUCAGGUUCCUAAUCCUGCUCACCACGAGGCAGCUACAAGACUUUCCUUUGGGGAACACGCAGCAGCCCCCAGCUCCCUCCCUUACAAACCACAGCAAUGGAGAAGGAGGUGGGUGGAAGCUGGGCUUCAGCCAAAUCGCUGGUGUCGGACCUGACAAUUCAAAGCAGAAUUUGACGCUGGGGGCGAAGAGAGAACAGUUAAAGAUACCAUUUAGGAGAGGUGAGAAGAUGUUUUUGAAUAGCUUAGAAGGCACAAGGCGAACGGAGCAGGAAGGCAGGGGUGGGUGGGAGUGGGGCGGGCGGGCAUCAGGACUGGAUCUCCGGGGCUGCAGCACUGCCGCUCACACACAACCAGAGGUGGAAGAGGCAAUACUGGCAAACUGAAAGCAAAGGAGAAGUGUAGCUUUCCGGGCUGACGUGGCGGAUCCGUUCACCUUGGAAAAACAAGAAUGUGUUCAUGUGGCCCGGCUGUAUGUUGCAAAUCCCUACCGUUUUUCCUUAGCUAGGUGUAUGCUCCAAAGGUAUUAAUUGUUAACCAGCAGCUGCCUGGACGAGGGGCUGUUAAUGCUGCGCGAGGCCGGGCAGAUAAGAUGUUGCUCUCCCAAGGCUCCCGGUAUGGAAAACAGCGGCAAGGUCCAGCAAGUCUCCCCAGUUGUAGUUUUCUAAAAUUGGAGCGUCACGUCCGCUGGGCUGCGCAUACCAGCUCUGGCCCUGUCAGCUGUUGCUCACUUUAUCAUCGCGUUCCUUCGCGGGGAGCAGAUCGCAGGCUCCCGCCACUGCGGGCACCGCCACACCUUGCCCAGGUUGUGUCCGCGAGGAGCAGCAGCACGGCAGCGCUGGAGACAAUGCAGGCCCAUCUGUUAUUUAUACCAGCUACUCCCUUUGGGCCUGAACAAGCAAGAAGCUCUCUUUAAAAGCUUGUAAUUGUUGGUCGCAUUCCAAGAGAGACAAAGGGAUGUUGUAAAAACAGUUCCGUUUGAGCUUGGUAAAACACUCUCCUAGGGCAGAGGCAGCAGGUUUCCUUUGUGGGAAGGCAGGAGGUGGACGGCUUUGUUCAAAUUCACGUUCACAUUUUUCUCUGUGUGUUUUAACGGCAUUCAUUCGGAUUUACAUUUUCUAGAGCAGUUUUCUGCAGUCGUAGGGUUUCAGUGGCAUUUCCGAGGCAGCAGCCCUGCUCCGUGCCCGCUCGGGCGGGUAUCGCUCAGGAAGCUGGCAGUGCUGACUCAGCUCCCCGGGGAGCCCGCCAAGCAUCUCUGUCCUCGCUGCCUCUGCUGCGAACAACCACAGAGCAAGAGCGUGUCGGUGCCCCUGGUUCAGACGCUGGGCAGAUAGCGGCUUCUCUGCAAGCAGGAAGGAAACGGAGGCACCACAGCGGUGCCACCGUUGUCAGAAAUGAGAGCAAAGACAAGCAAAGAGACCGAAGCGUCAGGAGGAAAACCAGGAUCGCGGUCAGGUGCUGUGCUAGAGGCCUGGGAAAACACUCCAGUUGUGCUCCACUCGUUUCAGCUGAGGUCUGAAUGCCCAGAAAGGGGCUGGAAGGUUGCCAAGACAACAGCGUUUUGAAAACCGCAGCGUGCAGGUUUGGACUGGGCCGGGGAACGUACUCGAGUUAUUUUGCAGUAUCUGGAGCCACAAGCCAGCAAGAGAAUGCGCACGGUCGGUAAUACCCAGCGGGAGCUGACACAGCCGUCACAAACUUCUAUUAUUCCUUUUACUCGGCGCGAUCCACAUGUUUUUCAUUAGGCCCAAAUUGUAAAAGAAAAUAUAUACAUAUUAAAUAAAAAUACCAGAGUUCUGCGAACGUGUGUUUGGCAGUUUGCAUUCAGGUUACAAAUGCUCACACUGUGUGUUUGAGAAAAAAGCUGUUUUACAAGGUUGUGAUCUGCAGGCAAGUAACGAGAGACAUGCCAUGUUCUCAGACAUGGUUUUGGCCCACACGUCCUCAAAAAGCAAAUAAACAAAAGCAAGUAAACUAAAUCAUCCUGCACGUCAACAGCUCGGUCGGUUUGGGAAGAUUAAUGCCUGGGAACAAAGGGGUUUAUGGAUCAGAGACCUCUUCGGUUUUCUGAACGUUGUAAGCCUGGUUCCCUAACGACGCAGGGCUCCUGCAUUCACAGCGUCCAUCUGUCCCCCCUCCAGCUCCUCUCCUGCCAACUCGCUGGCCAGUGAAAUAAUUUCACGUCGUUUGGCAGGGAGUUGGAGGGGGCUCCAACGCAGAUUUCAGCGUGAGGAAGUUUAAGACAAGCCAGCGGAACGGAACGUGAGCAGCCGAGCACCCUCGCUGAGGAAGCAGCACCGAGGGGCCCGGCUGUGCCCACGGGGCCGUGUCCCACGGUCCCACACCCCCACGCCCCAUCACCGUGACUGCGGCUCACGGCAACGGGGCCUGGAUGUGAAAUCCUGCGGCCCCCCUCCUGCUGCGCUGUGCACGGCCCGGAGUUGUGCCGCUGAGAAACCUGUGAGAACAAGCAGUAACUGUUGGGCAGCACCGUAAGUCAAGUUAGCAUUUACACCAUAAAAGUAUGCUGUGCUGGUGAAACACGUACAGAAGGAAGCAGCCUCUGAGAACGGAUUGUUUUAUGAGGGGCUGACUUCAAAAUGAGUCAUUUAGCACAGAGCAACAAUUGUGACUUUAUUAAAAAUCACCAUGCUCUGGAGUGAACUCCUUGGCUCGCAGCGUGUCCUGCCAACUCCUCCAUCAGAAAAUAGGUCCUGCUGAAUUCCCAUGGAAAAGCCCUGGAGCGGCUCCCAGCCCCAUCGCGCUCCCUGGGGACACCGCUGGCACCCCGGCUGCGCGCUCGCUUCCUGCCUGCUCCGGGCUGGAGCCUGCAGCCCUCAGCCCUCAGCCCUCAGCCCUCAGCCCUCAGCCCUCCGAGCUCCGUUCACAACUUCUGCUGCUUUUGUAACAACUUCCUACUGUUAUUCUCGUUCCCGUGCAUUCACUAGGUACAUUUUGUGCAGUGCUCAGGCACUGCAAAGUUAAUUAAAUUAAGCAAAAAUGCUCACGUGAGAUUAAAAUAAGACCCCCUCACAGCAGAUCUGCAAACUGCAGCAGCUUACCUGCCUCUGCCAAGGAGCAGGUACCGACAGCUCCUGCGCGGCACGGGCAGGACGUUUGGGAGGAAGAGCACAAAGCCAAGGAACAGCAAGUGUGGGAAAAACAGGGCUUCUCGUGCUGGUUUCCAGAGCCCUUAAUGGGAUCCAACAAAUGCAGAUAUAAAACAGAUUGUCUGCUCGAUAUUUUAACUUUUAAGUGUACGGACUUUGCACGGCGAAUUUAAAACUCUGCACUGAACUCCUUUCUUCUCUCCCCCUGAAAACAGGUUUUAGG